AGUACUCGAGUGGCGAACGGGUGAGUAACACGUGGGUAAUCUGCCCUGCACUCUGGGAUAAGCCUGGUAAACUGGGUCUAAUACUGGAUAUGACCUUUCUCCUUAUGGGGUUUGGUGGAAAGUUUUUCGGUGUAGGAUGAGCCCGCGGCCUAUCAGCUUGUUGGUGGGGUGAUGGCCUACCAAGGCGACGACGGGUAGCCGGCCUGAGAGGGUGAUCGGCCACAUUGGGACUUAGAUACGGCCCAG
rnacentral:rRNA from 1 species